AUUGAACGCUGGCGGCAGGCCUAACACAUGCAAGUCGAACGGUAGCACAGAGAGCUUGCUCUCGGGUGACGAGUGGCGGACGGGUGAGUAAUGUCUGGGAAACUGCCCGAAGGAGGGGGAUAACUACUGGAAACGGUAGCUAAUCCCGCAUAACGUCGCAAGCACAAAGUGGGGGACCUUCGGGCCUCACACCUUUGGAUGUGCCCAGAUGGGAUUAGCUAGUAGGUGGGGUAAUGGCUCACCUAGGCGACGAUCCCUAGCUGGUCUGAGAGGAUGACCAGCCUCACUGGAACUGAGACACGGUCCAGACUCCUACGGGAGGCAGCAGUUGGGAAUAUUGCACAAUGGGCGCAAGCCUGAUGCAGCCAUGCCGCGUGUAUGAAGAAGGCCUUCGGGUUGUAAAGUACUUUCAGCGGGGAGGAAGGCGGUGGAGUUAAUAACUUCACCGAUUGACGUUACCCGCAGAAGAAGCACCGGCUAACUCCGUGCCAGCCGCCGCGGUAA
rnacentral:rRNA from 1 species